GCUGGGCGUGGUGGCACGUGCCUGUAGUCCCAGCUUCUCAGGAGGCUGAGGUGGGAGGAUCGCUUGAGCCCAGCAGUUCUGGGCUGCAGUGCGCUAUCUAUGCCCAUCAGGUGUCUGCGCUAAGUUCAGCAUCAAUAUAAUGACCUCCCGGGAGCAGGGGUCCACCAGGUUGCCUAAGGAGGGUGAACCGGCCCAGGUCAAAAACGGAGCCAGUGAAAACUCCCAUGUUCAUCAGUAGCGGGAUCACACCUGUGAACAGCCAUUGCGCUCCAGCCUGGGCAACAUAGCAAGACCCCGCCUCUU
ensembl:misc_RNA Metazoa_SRP Metazoan signal recognition particle RNA